UAGCCGAAGUUUUUGAUGCGCUGAUGAU
rnacentral:sRNA from 1 species